UAUAUUAAUAGCCCCCACCCACAGGUCAUGGGUGGGAGUGCUCAAUAGCUGCCCAGUCUCUAGUACUUUUAAAUUUGUUUAGGUGACAUGCUCCUACUCGCGGCAUGUGGUUGGAUUUAACCUCCCUUUGAAUCAAUAUGGGAGUCUUAGUGACCCCCAUACUGAUUUAGGCUGCUCGCUGUAUAGGAAACAUACCCCUACUCGUGGCAUACCUCGCGUAAGGGCAUUCAGGAGGAUUUAACCUCCCUUUUAUAAACAUGGGGGGUCAUAGUGACCCCCACAGGUUUUAAUGCGGUUG